AUUGAACGCUGGCGGCAGGCCUAACACAUGCAAGUCGAGCGAGCGGCGGACGGGUGAGUAAUGCCUGGGAAACUGCCUGAUGUAGGGGGAUAACUACUGGAAACGGUAGCUAAUACCGCAUACCAUCAGAUGUGCCCAGAUGGGAUUAGCUAUUCGGUGGGGUCAUGGCUCACCUAGGCGACGAUCCCUAGCUGGUCUGAGAGGAUGACCAGGCACACUGGAACUUGGACACGGUCCAGAAUCCUACGGGAGGCAGCAGUGGGGAAUAUUGCACAAUGGGCGCAAGCCUGAUGCAGCCAUGCCGCGUGUGUGAGGAAGGCCUUGGGGUUGUAAAGAACUUUCAGCGAGGAGGCGUUACUCGCAGAAGAAGCACCGGCUAACUCCGUGCCAGCAGCCGCGGUAAUAC
rnacentral:rRNA from 1 species